rnacentral:rRNA from 1 species
AUCUACCCUUGAAUUUGGGAUAACUCUUCGAAAGGGGAGCUAAUACCGGAUGACAUCACAAAUUUUUCGAAAUAUGUGAUCAAAGAUGGCCUCUCCAUGGAAGCUAUUGUUUGAGGAUGAGCCCGCGUACCAUUAGCUAGUUGGUAGGGUAAAGGCCUACCAAGGCAACGAUGGUUAGCUGGUCUGAGAGGAUGACCAGUCACACUGGAACUGACACACGGUCCAG